rnacentral:lncRNA from 1 species
UCAGGAGUGUCCACAAUUCUCCCGCACGGGAUUUUGAGUGCAGGGAGCUGUUUGGCAGGAUCAGUUUGGUCCUGGAUGCAGACCAGAAUCGUGGGUACCGGCGGUUGCCUGUCCUAUAUCCUUCUGUCCAGAGGCACUGUGCAGUUUCCCCUGGACCAGGGAUGUGGGCUGAGGUGUGCAGAGGUGGCAGUCUAUCCUGGGGCCUCGAGAUGUCUGCCUGGUUAAUUAUUUCAAAGUUAGAUUCUGAGAGAAGCAGAAAUGUCCAAGCCGCUCUCUUGUGGCUUAAGGCUUGUGGAAUUGAAUGAUUUCUGAUACCCAUCACUCCUCCACUAGGCCCUCAUUAGGGAGAGCAGGCAGUAGACAGACAGGUCUGUCUGGUGAGAGGCUCACUCUUCUGUGUCUCUUAGUGAAAGCUGGAUUGGAAGGUACAGUUAUGCUUCCUUCUUCCUAAGACAGGAGAAGACAAGGGAAAUUAAGGAACAUGGAGCUGCAAGGGGUCCCUUCUCUCCCGGAAUCAGGCUAACAAACCUGCUUGCUCACAGAGUGAAUAGGGCCUUAUUGUUAAUAAUGGGGUUUGACUCUGCUUUUCUCAUUUCUUCUCAUAUAAUUACUUUCAAUGAGUAAAAAGUUGAAAACCUCGGUGGAGAUAGCCUUGACAUAAUAUUGCUCUCUCUGAACCAUGACUCAAACGAGAGGAACAAACCAACAAGGAAGCAAGCUUAAGGACCAGAAUGCAGCUUUUGAUUUCAGCCUUAUCA